rnacentral:rRNA from 1 species
UACGUAGGGGGCAAGCGUUGUUCGGAAUUACUGGGCGUAAAGGGCGCGUAGGCGGCACAGCAAGUCGGGAGUGAAAGCCCGGGGCUCAACCCCGGAAUGGCUUUCGAAACUGCUGAGCUAGAGUACAGAAGGGGCAACCGGAAUUCCCAGUGUAGCGGUGAAAUGCGUAGAUAUUGGGAAGAACACCUGAGGCGAAGGCGGGUUGCUGGGCUGAUACUGACGCUGACGCGCGAAAGCCAGGGGAGCAAACGGG